CCAGCCUCCGCUGCCCUCCCCCCGACCCCUCCUUCGGGCCCGAGACCGCACGCUCGCGGUGCACCGUCGGGUUCCGGGAAGACCGCGUCUAACCGGAGGCCUUGACCGCGGCAGGAACGCGGAACUUUGCCGUAUUGCUACAUGACAUGCUAAUGUUUUACACUUAUUAAAGAAAAGAUGAUGGAUGUGCACUAAACUUAUUGUGAUCAUUUCAUGAUGUAAGAAGUCAAAUCAUCAUUUCAUGAUCUGACCUGUCCUAGGGUCCUCCUCCAUCUGCCUGUGCAUCUUUCCGCCAAGAUGGAUUCCAGCGUCGGGGCCUGUGGGAGCGUUGACGUCACCUAUUAUGGGGUGGCACCCCUCCCUUUUUGACCCCCAAGGAGCCUUCCUGAGCAUGUGCAGCCAGGGAAGUUUUUCUUGACCUCCGUAGUGGUCAUCUUAUCUCUUUACUUCAGCAGAGCUCAGCUCUUGCCACUAACUUUGUCCCUGGAGUGUCUAGGGAAAACAAAGCUUCAAUUUUACUCCGUUUGACAAACACCAGCUGUCCAGCCCAGGGGUCCAUCUACCUCCUACCUCCGUUAGACUGAGGAUCGCAAGUCCUUGCUGGCUAGUGACUGGAGGCCGCCUCAGGUACCAUCCAUACUCAAGAGAAGGGGAUUACUCAAAGGUGUGACUACCAAGAGAUGGGGAACAGAGGUGACCAUCUCAGAGUCUGCCUGGCAUAGGGAGUGGAUUGGCUUGAGCAUUGUCUGAACUAGAGUUCAGGAUACGAGACAGCAGGCAGU